rnacentral:rRNA from 1 species
AGCAGCCGCGGUAAUUCCAGCUCCAAUAGCGUAUAUUAAAGUUGUUGCAGUUAAAAAGCUCGUAGUUGAAUUUCGGGAUUUGUCGGUUGGUCGGGCUUCACUGUCCGCACUGGCCUGACGGAUUCCUACCUUCUGAAUAACCAGCAUGCUAUUAAGUUAGUGCGUUGGGGAAGCAGAGCUAUUACCUUGAAAAAAUUAGAGUGCUUAAAGCAGGCUUGYGCUUGAAUAGAUUAGCAUGGAAUAAUAAAAUAGGACGGCWUGGUUCUAUUUUGUUGGUUUCUAGGAUCACCGUAAUGAUUAAUAGGGAUAGUUGGGGGCAUUAGUAUUCAAUUGUCAGAGGUGAAAUUCUUGGAUUUAUUGAAGACUAACUUCUGCGAAAGCAUUUGCCAAGGAUGUUUUCAUUAAUCAAGAACGAAAGUUAGGGGAUCGAAGACGAUCAGAUACCGUCGUAGUCUUAACCAUAAACUAUGCCGACUAGGGAUCGGACGAUGUUAAUUUUUUAAUGACUCG